CGCCAUUUUGUACCACACUACAGGAUGUGUUGGCUGGAUGUGAUAAAUAGAUGAAUGUUAACGCAGCCAUUUUUUUCUUCUUCUUCUCCCAACUCAAUGCGCUCGAGCUAUUAAAAUUUACAAGUGACAUUGCAGACAUCUAUCCUUGUUACUGGUCGAUAAGGAUUCAUGGGUUUGCCUCGGUCGAGCGUAACGAGAAUAACAAGCUAAACGCGUCAACUUGACGGCUUCGUCUGCUUAGCAUCAUUAUCGUCAACAUUCCCCAAUUCUCUUCGCUUCUGGAACGUAGGUUAAAAAGUCUAUCGCUAAAUAGUUGGAGAAAUAUGCAAAAUGUGUCGUUAAAUAUCAAUCAAGGGCAAGGUGAUGAAUGAGAAUGUCACCUGAAGAAGAGCAACAACGAUACGAGUGGCGCCACUUUGAACGGCGAUGGUCGAAAUGGUCGUCGUAGCUGGCGUCUGAGAUGACAGGACGGAGCCGGAUGACCUCUGCUGCCGCUGGAGCGAAUGCGCUAAAGGCGGGAUGUCGGCUUCGGCCAUGUCAAAUUCGUUUUCUCUUCACAGUUCGUUAUAUGGGUUGCACGGCUGAUUACGAUUUAUCCGCAAAAAAAAAAAAUAGAACGAACCACACCCAGCGUGAUAUUUCCGUCCGGGGUACUCACGCACGCCAAGAAGAGAGAGGCGAAGGGUAAGGAGGAGGCCAAGUUUAAAUUAUAAUAUUUUAUUUUUUUUUUUUAGAAAAAGACAAACAACAAAAGACUCCCCGCGUCCAGACUCCGUGCCAGUCGGGGAGGAACUGGUCGCUCUCGUCCGCUGGCGUCGCUGUGCGCGACCGCAGAAACCUAAGGUUCUAUUAAUAGGGAAGCCGCCUAUAGUACGGAGGAUAAGUUUUCUAGGCGUCUGUUGACUGGCCGCUUGUUGUGCUGUCACGUUGGAUUAUAGUAGCCCCAACAAAAGAGAAACAAGGCA